rnacentral:rRNA from 1 species
AUUGAACGCUGGCGGCAGGCCUAACACAUGCAAGUCGAACGAGUGGCGGACGGGUGCGUAAUGUCUGGGAAACUGCCUGAUGGAGGGGGAUAACUACUGGAAACGGUAGCUAAUACCGCAUACCAUCGGAUGUGCCCAGAUGGGAUUAGCUAGUAGGGGGGGGAAAGGCUCACCUAGGCGACGAUCCGUAACUGGUCUGAGAGGAUGAUCAGCCACACUGGAACUGAGACACGGUCCAGACUCCUACGGGAGGCAGCAGUGGGGAAUAUUGCACAAUGGGCGAAAGCCUGAUGCAGCCAUGCCGCGUGUGUGAAGAAGGUCUUCGGAUUGUAAAGUACUUUAAGUGGGGAGGCGUUACCCGCAGAAGAAGCACCGGCUAACUCCGUGCCAGCAGCCGCGGUAAUAC